CAGUAGCCGCGGUAAUACAGAGGGUGCAAGCGUUAAUCGGAGUUACUGGGCGUAAAGGGCGCGUAGGCGGUUAUAUAAGUGAGAUGUGAAAUCCCUGGGCUUAACCUAGGAACUGCAUCUUAUACUGCGUAGCUGGAGUGCAGUAGAGGGUAGUGGAAUUUCCGGUGUAGCGGUGAAAUGCGUAGAUAUCGGAAGGAACACCAGUGGCGAAGGCGGCUACCUGGACUGACACUGACACUGAGGCGCGAAAGCGUGGGGAGCAAACAGGAUUAGAUACCCCCGUAGUCCCUGUCUCUUAUAC
rnacentral:rRNA from 1 species